UACGAAGGGUGCAAGCGUUACUCGGAAUUACUGGGCGUAAAGCGUGCGUAGGUGGUUUGUUAAGUCUGAUGUGAAAGCCCUGGGCUCAACCUGGGAAUGGCAUUGGAAACUGGCUUACUAGAGUGCGGUAGAGGGUAGUGGAAUUCCCGGUGUAGCAGUGAAAUGCGUAGAUAUCGGGAGGAACAUCUGUGGCGAAGGCGACUACCUGGACCGUUGUUGACGCUGAGGUGCGAAAGCGUGGGGAGCAAACAGG
rnacentral:rRNA from 1 species